UACGUAGGGGCAAGCGUUGUCCGGAUUUAUUGGGCGUAAAGAGCAUGUAGGCGGCCAUGUAGGUCCGUUGUGAAAACUCGAGGCUCAACCUCGAGACGCCGAUGGAAACCAUGUGGCUAGAGUCCGGAAGAGGAGAGUGGAAUUCCUGGUGUAGCGGUGAAAUGCGCAGAUAUCAGGAAGAACACCCGUGGCGAAGGCGGUCUCUGGGCCUUACCUGACGCUGAGGAGCGAAAGCGUGGGGAGCGAACAGG
rnacentral:rRNA from 1 species